GUUAACAUUCCCCACCCCGUGAACACGUCUGCUUGCACGUACUUGUUGUUCACUAAUUUACUGUCUCGUUACUCGCGCCUUGGAAAUUGGUUCCGUUAUCGGAAAAAAUCUCUGUCGGUGGUCCUCUACGGCAAACGAAUCUUCUGAUGGCCAUUAUACAUGAUUCAGUCGAUAGGCUAUAUGCUACUUCGAGGUGGACUGCCCUCGUUACUAGACAGGUGAAAACAGCCACAUAUCGCUUUUCGUUGCGGCGCAAGUUAGUAAUGUCUAUUGGUCCCAGAUAAUCGACUCCUACAUUCGUGAACGGACGCAGGAAGGGGCGUUGGCAGUUUUUCAUCGCUCUAUCAACGGCUGCUCUCAAAAAGGGAAUAUAGAGACGUUGUCUAACCUCAUUCACUACGGUUUCCCGAUUAGCAUGCCCAUAUUUUUCGUUCUUCCAGAUGCUCUAAA